UGCUAGUCGAAGCGGACAAGAUGGGAAGCUUGCUCCCUGAUGUUAGCGGCGGACGGGUGAGUAACACGUGGGUAACCUGCCUGUAAGACUGGGAUAACUCCGGGAAACCGGGGCUAAUACCGGAUGGUUGUUUGAACCGCAUGGUUCAAACAUAAAAGGUGGCUUCGGCUACCACUUACAGAUGGACCCGCGGCGCAUUAGCUAGUUGGUGAGGUAAUGGCUCACCAAGGCAACGAUGCGUAGCCGACCUGAGAGGGUGAUCGGCCACACUGGGACUGAGACACGGCCCAGACUCCUACGGGAGGCAGCAGUAGGGAAUCUUCCGCAAUGGACGAAAGUCUGACGGAGCAACGCCGCGUGAGUGAUGAAGGUUUUCGGAUCGUAAAGCUCUGUUGUUAGGGAAGAACAAGUACCGUUCGAAUAGGGCGGUACCUUGACGGUACCUAACCAGAAAGCCACGGCUAACUACGUGCCAGCAGCCGCGGUAAUACGUAGGUGGCAAGCGUUGUCCGGAAUUAUUGGGCGUAAAGGGCUCGCAGGCGGUUUCUUAAGUCUGAUGUGAAAGCCCCCGGCUCAACCGGGGAGGGUCAUUGGAAACUGGGGAACUUGAGUGCAGAAGAGGAGAGUGGAAUUCCACGUGUAGCGGUGAAAUGCGUAGAGAUGUGGAGGAACACCAGUGGCGAAGGCGACUCUCUGGUCUGUAACUGACGCUGAGGAGCGAAAGC
rnacentral:rRNA from 1 species